rnacentral:sRNA from 1 species
GCUGGGUGUGGUGGUGUGUGCCUGUAAUCCUAGAAGCUCUGGAGGCUGAAGCAGGAGGAUUGAGAGUUCAAAGCCAACCUCAGCAACAGUGAGGGGCUAAGCAACUCAGUGGGACCCUGUCUCUA